rnacentral:rRNA from 1 species
GACGAACGCUGGCGGCGUGCUUAACACAUGCAAGUCGAACGGAAAGGCCCUGCGCUUGCGGGGCGCUCGAUUGGCGAACGGGUGAGUAACACGCGAGUAACCUGCCCUUGUCUUUGGGAUAACUUUAGGAAACUGGGGCUAAUAUCGGAUAGGAGCUCCUGCUGCACGGUGGGGGUUGGAAAGUUUCGGCGGUUUGGGAUGGACUCGCGGCUUAUCCGCUUGUUGGUGGGGUAGGUGCUUACCAAGGCUUUGACGGGUAGCCGGCCUGAGAGGGUGACCGGCGACAUUGGGACUGCGGUACGGCGCAGACGCGAACGGGAGGCAGCGGGGGGGAGUAUUACACAAUGGCGGGGAGCCUGAUAUGAAAACGCCGGGUGCGGAAUAACGUGCUUCGAGUUGUAAACAGCUUUGGCAGGUGACGAGGCGUGAGUGACGGUAAUGGGUAAAGAAGCACCGGCUAACUACGUG